rnacentral:rRNA from 1 species
GACAGAGGGGGCAAGCGUUGCUCGGAAUCACUGGGCGUAAAGGGCGCGUAGGCGGGAUGGCAAGUCGGUCGUGAAAUCCCUGGGCUCAACUCAGGGGGGUCGGCCGAUACUGCCGUUCUUGAGGGAUGCAGAGGAGACUGGAAUUCCCGGUGUAGCGGUGAAAUGUGUAGAGAUCGGGAGGAACACCGGUGGCGAAGGCGGGUCUCUGGGCCGAUACUGACGCUGAGGAGCGAAAGCGUGGGGAGCGAACAGG